UACGGGGGGAGCAAGCGUUGUUCGGAUUUACUGGGCGUAAAGGGCGCGUAGGCGGCGUGACAAGUCACUUGUGAAAUCUCCGGGCUUAACUCGGAACGGUCAAGUGAUACUGUCGUGCUAGAGUACAGAAGGGGCAACUGGAAUUCUCGGUGUAGCGGUGAAAUGCGUAGAUAUCGAGAGGAACACCUGCGUCGAAGGCGGGUUGCUGGGCUGAUACUGACGCUGAGGCGCGAAAGCUAGGGGAGCAAACGGG
rnacentral:rRNA from 1 species